rnacentral:rRNA from 1 species
ACAUGCAAGUCGAACGGUAACAGGGGUGCUUGCACCGCUGACGAGUGGCGAACGGGUGAGUAAUGCGUCGGAACGUGCCGAGUAAUGGGGGAUAACGCAUCGAAAGGUGUGCUAAUACCGCAUACGCUCUGAGGAGGAAAGCUGGGGAUCGAAAGACCUGGCGUUAUUCGAGCGGCCGACGUCUGAUUAGCUAGUUGGUGAGGUAAAGGCUCACCAAGGCGACGAUCAGUAGCGGGUCUGAGAGGAUGAUCCGCCACACUGGGACUGAGACACGGCCCAGACUCCUACGGGAGGCAGCAGUGGGGAAUUUUGGACAAUGGGCGCAAGCCUGAUCCAGCCAUGCCGCGUGUCUGAAGAAGGCCUUCGGGUUGUAAAGGACUUUUGUUAGGGAGCAAGUCCUGCAGGUAAGAGCCA